rnacentral:lncRNA from 7 species
AGGUAUUUCAGGUUGUCCAGGGAAGCACCAUCCCUGAGGAUGCCUAAGGGCAGAUUGGAUUGGGCCCCAGGCAGCCUUAUCUGAUGGGUAGCAACCCUGCUCGUGGCAGUGGGUCUGGAAGUAGACUAUCUCUAAAGGCUUCUCCAAUCUAAACCAUUCUGAUUUGAAGACUUCAGGAACCUUGGCUAACUAAUUCACCUGUAAGCUAGGCAUCUUUUCACCCAGGCUGGCUGGUGACAGCUGAGCAACAGCUGAGAGAAGAAACAGCGAUAACUGCCUUAUGAACAUUUACAUCUCAAGCCUUAUGCUGAUGUGUACUUGCAUUUCGACUAAAUUUCAAGAUAAGUUGUGUGAAGAAAGAGGAGAACCGACAAAGCUCUGCAAUAUCUUUGAAAAUCUUCAGUGAUUUAACAUUUAAUAAAUGAGUAUGUACAGAAGCAUUUUAUUUUUUCUCAUGGUAAGCAAUUGCUCAAAUGCAGUUUUGCUCAGAGGCAGCUAGACCUAAAGCAUUUAAAGGUUUCUGCAAGAAUGAAAUACAUUUUGAGAUGUGAAGAGCGCUUGUCUCAUGAAUUGGAUAGUUACUAAAUGGAAUAGAUAGCAUAUAGGCUGCAGGCAGUGUAGUGGAGGAGGUAGGAAGAUGACCGUCUGUGACCUAAUAUGUUCCAAGCAGAGCUUUGAGUCUUUUGCUCUUGCUUUUUCCCUGUCCAUUUCCUAGGUCAAAUCUUUCUAGAGCAACCUGGGAUUCAAGAAAGUACUGUGAAAGCUAAUGAAAUUAAUUAUCUGUGACAUUGUAUGAUUCACACCAAGUUAUUUUCCUUGAAGUUACAAUUGUGUGUUGGGAAGAAAUGCUACUGGGAACCUUAGAGAUAAAAUUCAAGGCUGAAAAGAAGAAUUUAUAUUAAUUAUUACGUAGUGUAUAACUCAAUGCAUAAAUUUGAACUGUUAAUCUGGUUUAAAAUAGUAAGUUUAUAAAUUUCUAUGAUGUUUCCAUAGCUAACAAGAAAGUAGAGUAUUCAAAUAAUUUGAACAGAAUGUCUGCGUUCUGCUGUAGAAAUAGGUGGAAACAGUCUUCUCUUUUUAUGUUAAUCUCAGUCAUCUACAUCAGAGCAAUAAAAAAAAUCUCCAAAAAUACUGAAGAAAUUGAUUGCAGAAUUUUUUGAUGAGCCAUUUGAAUGUUAAGAGAAAUCUUUACAUUUAAGGGCACAUUGUAGGAAGUACUGACUUCGCCUUGUCUUAUGGAAGAAUGCAGCAAUGUAUUUUCCCAAGUCUCAUACCCUUGUAUAUUUAAAUAAAUCAUUGUCCCAGUCACUGCC